GACAGAGGGUGCUAGCGUUGUUCGGAAUUACUGGGCGUAAAGGGCGCGUAGGCGGCUUGUUUAGUCGGGUGUGAAAUCCCGGGGCUCAACCCCAGAACUGCAUUCGAUACUGGCAGGCUAGAGACCGGAAGAGGUGGGUGGAAUACCCAGUGUAGAGGUGAAAUUCGUAGAUAUUGGGUGGAACACCGGUGGCGAAGGCGGCUCACUGGUCCGGUUCUGACGCUGAGGCGCGAAAGCCAGGGGAGCAAACGGG
rnacentral:rRNA from 1 species